GACGAACGCUGGCGGCGUGCUUAACACAUGCAAGUCGAACGAUGAAGCCUUUCGGGGUGGAUUAGUGGCGAACGGGUGAGUAACACGUGGGUAACCUGCCCUUGGCUUUGGGAUAAGCCCUGGAAACGGGGUCUAAUACCGGAUAUGACUGAUUCUCGCAUGGGGAUUGGUGGAAAGUUCCGGCGGCCAGGGAUGGGCCCGCGGCCUAUCAGCUUGUUGGUGGGGUGAUGGCCUACCAAGGCGACGACGGGUAGCCGGCCUGAGAGGGCGACCGGCCACACUGGGACUGAGACACGGCCCAGACUCCUACGGGAGGCAGCAGUGGGGAAUAUUGCACAAUGGGCGAAAGCCUGAUGCAGCGACGCCGCGUGAGGGAUGACGGCCUUCGGGUUGUAAACCUCUUUCGCCCGGGACGAAGCGAGAGUGACGGUACCGGGAGAAGAAGCACCGGCUAACUACGUGCCAGCCGCCGCCGUAACAC
rnacentral:rRNA from 1 species